UCCAAUCAUCAAUCUUUAUGUAUAUUUAUGUAUUACUUCAUUAUACGUUGUUUGCAUUUUGGAAUCGAUUUUUGUCCUUUCGUAUAUGUUGCUUUCCUAUUUUGUUCUAAAACUAAUUACAUUCAAUGUUGUGCUAUAGGGCCCAUCAAAUAUGAUGGCAAGAACACGAUUUACAACAACAUUUCGUGUUCAAAAAGCCUCAAAAGAUACUUUUUUGGAAGUCGACAUCAUGGGACCUAUCUUUAGACAGACAUGUCGAAGGCCGGUUGUUACAACCAGAAGGCACAUCUUUACCGCUGAUGUCACCCAAGACAUGAUCGAACAUACCAACCCUUUGGUUCUUCUAGCAGCAACUUUAAAUUUUUUGUUUGGAUAAAAAAAAUUGUUCCUGUUCAGCGUCCAAAUGGCACACGAAACCAAUGGCAGAUCACCGUGCACAAUGGUCUGCCAUCUGUUGCAGAUCCAUGGUUUCAAUACCUCUGUGAAAAUAAUUUAAUGGCAGGAGAUGAAGUCAUGUUCUUCUUUAGGUUUGACAAACAUGUAUGGGAGGUCAUAUUUAGAAAACAAGUUAUGUGGGAUGAAGACCUCCCAGUUUGAAUCACCAUGCCUAAAGUUCAUGGCUUUUUUUGUUUUAAUUUUAUUUUAUUUAUAUUUUCAUUAAUGUUGUUAAUCCAAUACCUUAGGGUAUUAAACAAUUUCUUUAAUUUUCUGUUGCACAAUUAAUCACUAUCAAUUU